GACGAACGCUGGCGGCGUGCCUAAUACAUGCAAGUUGAGCGCUGAAGGUUGGUACUUGUACCAACUGGAUGAGCAGCGAACGGGUGAGUAACGCGUGGGGAAUCUGCCUUUGAGCGGGGGACAACAUUUGGAAACGAAUGCUAAUACCGCAUAAAAACUUUAAACACAAGUUUUAAGUUUGAAAGAUGCAAUUGCAUCACUCAAAGAUGAUCCCGCGUUGUAUUAGCUAGUUGGUGAGGUAAAGGCUCACCAAGGCGAUGAUACAUAGCCGACCUGAGAGGGUGAUCGGCCACAUUGGGACUGAGACACGGCCCAAACUCCUACGGGAGGCAGCAGUAGGGAAUCUUCGGCAAUGGACGAAAGUCUGACCGAGCAACGCCGCGUGAGUGAAGAAGGUUUUCGGAUCGUAUAACUCUGUUGGUAGAGAAGAACGUUGGUGAGAGUGGAAAGCUCAUCAAGUGACGGUAACUACCCAGAAGAGGACGGCUAACUACGU
rnacentral:rRNA from 1 species